AUACGUAGGGGGCAAGCGUUGUCCGGAAUUAUUGGGCGUAAAGCGCGCGCAGGCGGUUCAUUAAGUUGGAUGUCAAAGGCAUGGGCUCAACCGAUGUACGCAUCCAAAACUGGUGAACUUGAGUGCAGGAGAGGGGAGUGGAAUUCCCGGUGUAGCGGUGGAAUGCGUAGAGAUCGGGAGGAACACCAGUGGCGAAGGCGACUCUCUGGCCUGUAACUGACGCUGAGGCGCGAAAGCGUGGGUAGCGAACAGGAUUAGAUACCCUGGUAGUCCACGCCGUAAACGAUGAGUGCUAGGUGUUGGGGGCAUAGCGUCCUCAGUGCCGAAGGCAACCCAAUAAGCACUCCGCCUGGGGAGUACGGCCGCAAGGCUGAA
rnacentral:rRNA from 1 species